rnacentral:rRNA from 1 species
GACGAACCGUACGAACGUUAUUCGGAAUCACUGGGCUUAAAGGGUGCGUAGGCUGCGCAGCAAGUUGGGUGUGAAAUCCCUCGGCUUAACCGAGGAACUGCGCCCAAAACUGCUGUGCUCGAGGGAGAUAGAGGUGAGCGGAACUUAGGGUGGAGCGGUGAAAUGCGUUGAUAUCCUAAGGAACACCGGUGGCGAAAGCGGCUACACUGGAUCUCUUCUGACGCUGAGGCACGAAGGCUAGGGUAGCGAACGGG